GACUCAGUGGUUCAAUGGUAAAGCGUUUGACGCAGAGUCAGAGGGUCCUGGGAUCGACCCCUGAUGGGGUCA
rnacentral:tRNA from 1 species